AAAGCUGAAAAACAGCUGGUUGUAUUUAUUCUUUACUCCUAGUUCCAAAACAAUUAUAUUUUAUAUACACUUGAGAAACAAAUCAUUUUUACACUCAAUAAACGUACUAUAAAAAAUUUGUAAGUUUGCUAUUUAUUACUGCAUACAUAAUUUUUAUCUAAAAUGGAUGUAGGAGAACUUUUGUCUUAUAAACCUCCAUCAACGACAAAACGUAAUCAUGAAGACGAAGAUGAAGAUGAAGAUGAGUGGGAAAAUAGCAAGAAGAAGAAAAUAAAUAAAACUCCUUAUCAUCCACGACAAAGUUAUACUCGUGAGGUUGAACUGACUCCCGUGAGAAGUCAACCUGAACCUCCUACACCGACGCGUAAUCCAUCACGAGCAGGAGAAUCAAGUGCUAAUGAGAUGGUAGAGCCUGAAUUAACCGAACAACAAAAAGCUGAAAUUCUAAAACUUGUUGAGACUGAAACCCCAGAAUUUGAAGCUCUUGAUGAAACCAAUCUCAAACGGAUGGUUCUGCUGUUUGAAAAGCGAGCAUUUAGAAAUCAGGAAAUGCGCGUUAAAUUUCCCGAUCAACCGGAAAAAUUCAUGGAAUCGGAAGUUGAAUUACACGAGACACUUCAAGAACUUCAUAUAGUCUCAACUAAUCCAGACUUGUAUCCAAUGAUGGUUGAACUGAGAGCAAUUCCUUCAUUACUCGAAUUACUGUCUCACGAAAAUACCGACAUUGCUGUGGGGGUAGUUGAUCUGUUGCAAGAUUUAACGGACGCUGAUGUUUUACAGGAGAGCCAAGAAGGAGCUGAUGCAUUGAUUGAUGCUCUUCUAGACCAACAAGUCUCUGCUUUGCUGGUACAAAACCUCGAUAGACUUGAUGAAACUGUUAAAGAAGAGGGUGACGGCGUGUUCAAUACUUUAGCUAUUUUUGAGAAUCUCUUGGAAUUCAGGCCAGAAUUGUGUGUCGAUGCUGGCAAACAAGGACUGUUGCAAUGGUUGCUUCGCCGUCUUAAAGCCAAACUACCAUUUGAUGUUAAUAAAUUAUAUGCCAGUGAAAUAUUGUCGAUAUUGUUGCAAAAUAGCUCUGAAAAUAAAUUAUCAUUAGGUGAUCUCGAUGGAAUCGAUGUUUUGCUACAACAAUUGGCUUACUAUAAGCGCCAUGAUCCACAAACAGCCGAAGAACAAGAAAUGAUGGAAAAUCUGUUCAAUGUUUUAUGCUCCAGUUUGAUGGAAACUGUUAAUAGAGACAGAUUUCUACGGGGUGAGGGCUUACAGCUUAUGAAUUUGAUGUUGAGAGAAAAAAAAUUGUCCCGUAAUGGAUCAUUAAAAGUUCUCGAUCACGCUAUGAAUGGCCCAGAUGGUAAAGAUAAUUGUUCUAAAUUUGUUGAUAUUCUUGGCCUCCGUACAAUAUUUCCUCUCUUUAUGAAAACGCCUUCAAAAAAUCGUAAAAAAAUUUUUACUGCCGAGGAACAUGAAGAACAUGUUGUUUCUAUAAUUGCAAGUAUGUUAAAAAAUUGUAAAGGUCCGCAACGUCAAAGAUUGCUCAGUAAAUUUACAGAAAAUGAUUAUGAAAAAGUUGAUCGUUUAAUGGAACUACAUUUUAAAUAUCUGGAAAAAGUUGAAGAAGUUGAAAGUAACGCCAAGGAAGAUGAUGAUGAAGAAGAAUCUUAUUUAAAAAGAUUAGAAAAUGGAUUAUAUACAUUGCAAUUAGUUGAUUAUAUAUUAUUAGAAGCUUGUGCCGGUUGUCCUCCAGCUGUUAAACAACGUGUCACCCGAAUAUUAUCCCAACGUCGUGCAUCACUUAAAACAAUCAGGCAUAUCAUGAGAGAGUAUGCAGGAAAUCUCGGUGAAGCAGGAGAUGCUGAGUGGAGAGAAACAGAACAACAACAUAUUCUACAAUUAAUCGAUAAAUUUUAAAUAUCCAUUGUUUUCCUUUCCUUUUUAUAAAAUAAAUAUUAUGGUAAGAAAAAAAAAACAAAUCAAAUUUAUUUACUUAUUGAAUUUAAAAAAAAAAAAAAUUGUAUACCUUUUCAAAAAAUAACUAUAAAAACCGCCAAAUACUUGAGCCAAUAGUACAACUGGAAUCUCGUAAGCCAAUGAGUCGUAGCGGUUGGUCGUCUCGAUUUUCCCCUCGAUUCUCUUUUACGUGCGAGAGCGAGAGAAAGAGCUUCGCAACCAUUAGCGGUUUUCUCAGUUUACCAGUGUCGUUUGUAGAGACUUUGUUAUAUUACACGUUACGUUUAUAAAUUCAUAAUCUAAUCAACUCUAUUUCCUGUUAAUUUUUUACCUUAUUUUUUUGUUUACAUAACUCUCUAAAUAUUUAUCUAUUAAAUUUGUGUUAAAUUAUCAUAAUUUAGUGUCAUAAAUAUCUAUUUAUUUAUUUAAACUAAAGAAAUUAAAAAUUUAUUUCUUUACACAUGAACUUUUUUUCUCUAUUAAAAACUCAUUUGUGAAUUUUAAUUAAUUAAUCACUUAACUAAACAGUGACAUCGUCGAUUUAGUUUGUUGAGUUAGCUGUUGUAAAUUCACAAUUAUCGAAAUUUAUUCUAAUUAUUAUCUGAUAUUAUGAUAAAUGAGGAAAGAGCUUAAAGGUCCAUAACGAUGCUGCUUAAAUAGACUGCUACGGAGUGGGACAGCUGUUUGCGCUGUUUAAGCAGAGCAAAGAAAAAAAAAACUACCAACAAUAAAUGAAA
rnacentral:misc_RNA from 1 species